CAGGCUCUGGGUCCACCCGUCCUCGCUGAUCCAUGGAUUUCUGUGUGACCAGCUUUGGGGCACAACCUGAAGACCCUCACAGUCACUGUCACCAUCUCCACCUUCUGGUAUUCAUCAGACAGGAGCAACAGCUCAGCCACGUUCAACUCCACUGAGAGGAUCCUGCAGAGCUUGGUGAGACCCUGGUCCCAGCAGCUCCUGCUGGAUCCUUGUUCAAGAAGAGCAGCCUGGGCCCCUUCUCCUUGAGUGGCAGACUGGUCUCCCUCAGUGGCUCCAGGCUCUGCACCCUGGAGUUUAUGCAUGCAGAGAGAGCACCAGCUACAUUUCCGCAACAUCAACUGGAACCUCAGCAACCCGGAGCCCACAUCCUCGGAGUACACCGCCCUGCAGAGAGACACCCAGGACCAGAAUAUUCUCCCAACAGAGAUGACACCUUGAUUUUGAAGCCUAGUAAGCCUGCAGGAAGCCCCAGCCCAGGGUAGGAGGCGAGUAUCUUGAUGCUGUGCCUCAUCGAAGAGAACCAUGUGAACAGGUUUUUGGAUGA